UUUACUGGGGAGAAAAGCAAAUCCUAGGUUGGUGUAGUGGUUAGAGUGCUGGACUAGGACCACAGAACACCCAAGUUCAAAUCCCCCUUAAGCCAUGAUACUUGCUGGGUGACUCUGGGCCAGCCACUUCUCUCUCAGCCUAACCUACUUUACAGGGUUGUUGUGAGGAGAAACUUAAGUAUGUACUGGGCUCCUUGGAGGAAGAUCGGAACAUAAAUGUGUAAAUGCAUAAAUAAAACCAUGUACACAGCUUCAUGGCUGUCCUUGGAAAGCCCUGAAAGAGUGCUGGGCCCAGGGGCAAAUCAAACCGUGUGAGGCCCCUUCCAGUUAAUUCUACUGUGGGUUAAAAGAGCGGGGCCCGGGGCAGCCACCCUGCUUGCCAUGCCCUAAGGACAGCCCUGCACAGCUCUGGGCUCCUUGGAAGAAUGAUGAGAUAUAUAAAUGUAAAAUAAAUAAAAAUUGUAAAUUAGAAGCACACAAAUAUCCCAAGGUUUUAAACUUGCUUUGUGUUCAUUCUUAUAAUCAUCUUGCAAGGAUGAUAAUUUAUUCUCAUUUUUACAGAAAAGGAACAGAGGCUGACAUACAGUGACUGGAUCAAAGCUGUACACCUUUCCACUAAAAAAGUCACACAACAUGAUCCUCAAAGCAGAAGCGUCUUCUUGAAUAGUCCACCCAUAAACCACCCAACCACCACCGAGGAGUCUUAGCAGCUGCCUGGCAACCAUGGAAGUGCUUUCCUUUUGACAUCUGUCAAAGUCAUCACUUGAACCUUUGUUUGGAUACCCUGUCAAGUCCUCCUUGAUUUUUACUGUUCAGAAUUAGGCAGGUAGGAGAGAAUUUCCAUUUCAUUUUUGUCUGAUGCACUUUAUAGAUUUUAAUUGGAUGCUUGGUCUCAUUUGUCUUAUCGAGUGUUUCUUAUGUGCUGGGGUAAGAGUUUGAAAUUGCAACUACAGGUGUCAUUUUUGCUACUUACCAUGGAUUUACUACUGUGCUAUGUCCCCAGGCCACGUAGGCAGCUCUCUCAUCCCUAGCAGGAGAUGCAGUUGCCACAUAGACCUGGUUAUCAACAGCUCUGCAUUAAAGACAAAAAAAAAAUCACUAAGUAAAGCCUCAUACACUAGGUAAGGAUUAAAAAUAGUUGGGAAGAGCAACAGGCACUGAGCAGCCUUUAUAAGUUUAAUGCACUAUGCACUUUUCACAGUUCCUAAACAAAUCUGGAGUGGGAACACACGUGACAGACUAACCUCUGAAACUCAGAUAUCCCAAACUGGCUCAUUAAGUGUAUAUACACAGCUGUUUCAAUGGUGUUCUAAAAUAUAAAGGGUCACUCCCUAAUGACAGACAUGAUUAGAAACACUGCGCAAAUGUCAUGUCCCGACUGGAAGUCUCUAGUUUAAGUAGAAUCAAAUUCAUAGUUGUUCAAUAGUGAUUUUGAAUGAUUAAGUGCCAUCAAGUCCGUAUCAACUCUUAGUGACCACAUAGAUAGAUUCUCUCCAGGAUGAUCUGUCUUCAACUUGGCCUUUAAUGUCUCUCAACCAUAGUAGCUGUUCUCUAAUACAAAAACAAGUGAGACUUACUUUAUUUUUAAAAAAAUUCAGUUACAGUAUUUUGAAACUGCUUUUUCUAUUUAACACGUAAGCACACACACACCGCUGUACCCAAGACAAAGCAAUGAAUAAAUUCUCCUUAAACCCUGUUCACUUUGCUAGUUCUCACCGUCCUCUUUGCAGGAGUUCCCAGUGGGCUGGCCCAGUGGUCAAGUUAAAAGCCCCCGGAUACACCAAGAGCUGGCAACCUGAUUUAAAACAAAAAUAAUACCACCAAGAGAGGAGAAAGGAAUAGUCAUGCGAAAUCAGGAAAAAAAACCAUGGGAAAUAAGGAAAUAUCACUAGAAGUUUUGAGAUGUGUCCCUUACUUUGGUCAAGGCUGGUUUAUUAUUCUCUUUUCUCCAGUUUAUGUGGAUAUUCAGUAUAUUUUAAAGUUUAUAAUCAAUUUGAAAACUUCAGAAUAAAAAAGAUUGGAAUCCCCCUGAAA